CUGCUAACUAGCGCUUAUAAUGUUAUUGAAGACAGACAUUAGUAAAGUUGUUAGACAGCAUAUUCUAAUGUAAAAAGCAUUUUAUUAGAUGUUAGUACAGCUUCGAAACAGCUUUUAGAAUUACAAUGCCAAAGUUACGUUUUAUUCUAAGGCUGAACGUUUUAUUUUGUUUGUUUGAAAGUAUUCGAAAAAACUUAUCGCAUUUUAUUGUCCGAUUUGAUUAUUUUUCGUUUAGAGUAUUGCAGUGCAAUGGAGUUGUGAGGAGAUGUUUUAAUGUCUUUAUUAAAAAUAUUUAUCAUAAGAUGCCUUUUAAAAUAGUGCAAACGACCGAAAGGGAUGAAUGAAUGUUCUACGGAACUUCUUGACUUAGUGCUUGGCUCACACAACAACCGAUUGUACUGUAUUUUGUGUAUGAGGAGUAUCAUUUUUUGGAACACGUUUUGCAUUUCUUAAACCAAAUAUAAAUUUUGAAUAUUC